UCCUAGCCCUGAUAGAAGCGACAUCCUUAUGUGCCGGUGUUCGGCACGUAAGAUAUAGCGAAUAGCAGGAAAUAGC
rnacentral:sRNA from 1 species